rnacentral:tRNA from 1 species
UAUAAUUCAGUGUACGGGCACAUUAAUUUUUGAAGUUAAGGGAAAUAAUUUAUUUUUAUUAGUUAUAA